GUAGGGAAUAUUGGGCAAUGGUCGGAAGACUGACCCAGCCAUGCCGCGUGCAGGAAGACGGCCCUCUGGGUUGUAAACUGCUUUUAUCUGGGAAGAAAAAGGCCAUGCGUGGCAAAUUGCCGGUACCAGAUGAAUAAGCACCGGCUAACUCCGUGCCAGCAGCCGCGGUAAUACGGAGGGUGCGAGCGUUGUCCGGACUUAUUGGGUUUCAAGGGUGCGUAGGCUGCUGAUUAAGUCAGCGGUGAAAGACUUCGGCUUAACUGGUGCAGUGCAGGUGAUACUGGUUGGCUUGAGUGUCGGAGGGGUACAUGGAAUUGAUGGUGUAGCGGUGAAAUGCAUAGAUACCAUCAGGAACACCGAUAGCGAAGGCAUUGUACUGGCCGACAACUGACGCUGAUGCACGAAAGUGUGGGGAUCGAACAGGAUUAGAUACCCGUGUAGUCC
rnacentral:rRNA from 1 species